rnacentral:misc_RNA from 1 species
GUGAAUCAUCGAAUUUUUGAACGCAACUUGCACUGCCUGGUAUUACGGGGAGUCUGCCUGUUUGAGGGUCGUUAGAUUAAAAAAUCGAGGCGUCGCUCUUUUUUUUAAGGGUGAUCGCGUCGGAAUUGUGCCGUCUUUCACAUGUUAAUUCAUGUCAAUGUGGCCUAAAAUUCAUCCAUCUGGUACGA